GACGAACGCUGGCGGCGUGCUUAACACAUGCAAGUCGAACGGACGAGUGAGAUAAGUUUACUUAACUCACAAGUUAGUGGCGGACGGGUGAGUAACACGUGGAUAAUCUACCUGCAACACCGGGAUAACGCUGUGAAAACGGUGCUAAUACCGGAUACGUUCCCUUGUGCGCAUGUAUGAGGGAAGAAAGCUCAGGCGGUUGCAGAUGAGUCCGCGGCUGAUUAGCUAGUUGGUGAGGUAAAGGCUCACCAAGGCGAUGAUCAGUAGCCGGCCUGAGAGGGUGAACGGCCACACUGGGACUGAGACACGGCCCAGACUCCUACGGGAGGCAGCAGUGGGGGAUUUUGGACAAUGGGCGAAAGCCUGAUCCAGCGACGCCGCGUGGAGGCGAAGCCCUUCGGGGUGUAAACUCCUUUUCUCAGGGAAAAGGAUGAUGGUACCUGAGGAAUAACGCCCCGGCUAACUACGUGC
rnacentral:rRNA from 1 species